rnacentral:rRNA from 1 species
AAGGWUUGGMAGAUUGAGAGCUCUUUCUUGAUUUUGUGGGGUGGKGGKGCAUGGCCGUUCUUAGUUGGKGGAGUGAUUUGUCUGCUUAAUUGCGAUAACGAACGAGACCUUAACCUACUAAAUAGUGCUGCUAGCUUUUGCUGGUAUAGUCACUUCUUAGAGGGACUAUCGAUUUCAAGUCGAUGGAAGUUUGAGGCAAUAACAGGUCUGUGAUGCCCUUAGACGUUCUGGGCCGCACGCGCGCUACACUGACGGAGCCAGCGAGUAUUAACCUUGGCCGAGAGGUCUGGGAAAUCUUGUGAAACUCCGUCGUGCUGGGGAUAGAGCAUUGUAAUUAUUGCUCUUCAACGAGGA